AUUGAACGCUGGCGGCAGGCCUAACACAUGCAAGUCGAGCGGAUGAAGGGAGCUUGCUCCUGGAUUCAGCGGCGGACGGGUGAGUAAUGCCUAGGACUCUGCCUUGUAGUGGGGGAUAACGUCCGGAAACGGGCGCUAAUACCGCAUACGUCCUGAGGGAGAAAGUGGGGGUUCUUCGGACCUCACGCUAUCAGAUGAGCCUAGGUCAGAUUAGCUAGUUGGUGGGGUAAAGGCCUACCAAGGCGACGAUCCGUAACUGGUCUGAGAGGAUGAACAGUCACACUGGAGCUGAAACACAGUCCAGACUCCUACGGGAGGCACAAGUGGCGAAUGUUGGACAGUGGGGGAAAGCCCGAUCCAGCCAUGCAGCGUGUGGGAAGAAGGUCUUCGGAUUGUAAAGCACUUUAAGUUGGGAGGACGGGCAGUAAGUUAAUACCUGGCUGUGUUGACGUUACCAACAGAAUAAGCACCGGCUAACUUCGUG
rnacentral:rRNA from 1 species